rnacentral:rRNA from 1 species
UACGUAGGGUGCAAGCGUUAAUCGGAAUUACUGGGCGUAAAGCGUGCGCAGGCGGUUAUGUAAGACAGAUGUGAAAUCCCCGGGCUCAACCUGGGAACUGCAUUUGUGACUGCAUAGCUAGAGUACGGUAGAGGGGGAUGGAAUUCCGCGUGUAGCAGUGAAAUGCGUAGAUAUGCGGAGGAACACCGGUGGCGAAGGCGGCUCUCUGGACCACUACUGACGCUGAGGCGCGAAAGCUAGGGGAGCAAACAGG